UUCUUUAUUUUAAAAAUUUAUUUACUUGAGGAGUAAGAGUGAAUAGAAUAUAAAUUAUCUAUACUUGAAACUUAAAAGGCUUGGCGGUGUUAUAUAUCCUUCCAGGGGAGCUUGCUUAUUAAUUUGAUAAUCCUCAAUUUAUACUUACUUUUUUUAGAUAAACAGUUUGUGUAUUGCUGUCGUCAGUUUAUUUUGUAAAAAGAUUAGAAAAAACUUCAUAAUGAUUAGAUUAUGAUGUCAAGUCAAAAUGCAGCUUAUGAAAAAGGUUUAUAAAGUGAGCUACGAUUUAUAAUAUUUAAACUAAUUAAAUUAUGUAAUUGAUUUAUGAAGUUGGACUUGGUAGUAACAAGGUAUUUAAAUAGUGAGUCUUUGUGAAUUAGGUUUUGUGACGCG
rnacentral:rRNA from 1 species